UCUGACGCGCCCCGGUGCCCCAUCCCAUCCCAUCCCAUCCCAUCCCAAAGUCCCACGGCAAAGCCGCGCCUCUGCCCGACGCCGUCGCCACGCCAGCGCAGAUCUCCUCUCCCGUUUGUCCUUCCGGCGGGGCGAGGGUGACGCCCGCCACGCCGCGAGCUCCAGGCCUCCAGAGCUGCUCUCUAACCGAUGGGGCACAGCUCGAAGAAGAAAAAGAAGCGCGGCGCGGCCGGCCGCAAGGCAGCCAAGGACCACGCCGCGCAGCUCGAAGGAGACGAGACCGCCCUCGACGAGGAGCUCACCGCCCUGGCUUCAAUUUUAGGGGAGGACUUCAAAGUAACAUCAGAAUCACCUCAUACACGAUGUAAUAUAUGUAUCAGGCCUUAUUCGGACAGCAUGGGCUUUGAUGAUCUUAAUAUUUCAGCUAUUCUUAGUGUAAUAUGCUUUCCUGGUUACCCUCACAAGUGUCCAAAGUUGCGGAUCAUACCUGAAAAAAACUUGUCUAAAGAAGAUGCAGACCGGCUACUUUCGCUUCUUGUUGAUCAGGCAAACAUUUAUUCCCGAGAAGGACGUGUUAUGAUUUUCAAUUUGUUUGAGGCUGCGCAAGAGUUUCUGUCUGAGAUCGCUCCAGCUCAUGUUUCAGUGAGCACUGCUUCUUUCUUGGGUUUGAGCUCAACUACUGAUGAAAAUGUUGAAGUUAGCCUUGACAGUGAUCCUUACCCUGGAAUCUCUUACGUAUAUAACUCCUUCGAUCUAUAUAGUCAGUUGUAUGAUGGUACUUGUUGGAGUCGACAAGGUCCAGAUCUGACAACAGAUAGUGGCAGGAAAAAUAUUGUAUCUCAAGUUCAAUCUAAUGUUAGAAGCAAGAGGAAGACCAUCAUUGAAAAAUCCCGUAUCUCUGCUGAUAAGGUCAAUAAUGCUAAAGCCUCAUCUGGUGAUAAAACUGAACAGCAACAUGCCACAAAGCAUGGUUCCAUACGGGAGGCAGCUCCAACUUUACAUGUUGUGGAGGAGGAAACUGAAACUGAAAGCAAAACUUUGUCUGCUAGCAAUACAGGAAAUACAUCAGAUACUCCUGAAAGGGGUUUUAACAGUCUGAAUGAACCUGAGGACACUGACCUUGCAGAGGAACCUUGGAAUGAAGAAGACUGUGAUUCAUCAGACUUUAGCUCUUCAAAUGCACUAUCUUAUGUUUCAGACAUGUUAGAUGAUGCUUCACGAAACAAGAAAAGGGAUUUAAUUCUGGUACAUCUGCUUCGGAUAGCCUGUGCAUCGAAGGAUUCUCUUUCAGCUGCUUUGCCAACAAUAUCAGCAGAGCUGUGCAACAUAGGGGUUCUUUCUGAAUGGGCAAAGGAUUUAAUUUCUGACUCUCCUGGUGUUUUUGGGGAAACUUUCAGUCAUGUUUUUGGGCAACAAAUGAUCUCUUCAGAGUGUUCUCUAUUUUGGAGACCUGAUAAUUCAUCAUCUAGGGCGAACUCCCGUUAUUUGAAUGAUUUUGAGGAGCUCCGUUCACUUGGUCAGGGGGGCUUUGGUCGUGUUGCAUUAUGCAAAAACAAGCUAGAUGGGCGCCAAUAUGCUGUUAAAAAGAUACGCCUGAAAGAUAGAAGUCCUCAAGUGAAUGAGAAGAUUUUAAGAGAGGUAGCCACACUUUCAAGGUUGCAACAUCAACAUGUUGUCCGUUAUUACCAGGCAUGGAUUGAAACUGAAUAUGGUCAUCAUAAUAUUUUGAAUGCUGGUGGGUCCCGCACUGCUGAGAGCUCUAUAUUUAGUUAUGAUGAAGUCAGCCUAUCGGAUGCAGGUGGUGGGAAUAAGCUGGAAUCCACAUACUUGUACAUUCAAAUGGAGUAUUGUCCUAGGACUUUGCGGCAGGAUUUUGAGACAUACAUCUCAUCUUUUGAUGUUGACCAUGCCUGGCACCUGUUUCGACAAAUUGUGGAAGGUCUAGCUCAUGUCCAUAGUCAAGGAAUCCUACACAGAGACCUGACGCCCAGCAACAUAUUUUUUGAUGUCCGCAAUGAUAUUAAAAUUGGAGAUUUUGGUCUAGCCAAAUUUCUGAAGCUGGAGCAGCUAGAUCAUGACCAAUAUCUUCCCACUGAAGCAAUGGGUGUUUCAAUGGAUGGAACAGGUCAAGUUGGUACAUAUUUUUAUACUGCACCAGAGGUAGAGCAGAAAUGGCCACAGAUUAAUGAAAAGGUUGACAUGUACAGUUUGGGAGUUAUAUUUUUCGAGCUUUGGCAUCCAUUUGCCACAGCGAUGGAAAGACAUCUUGUUCUUUCUGAUCUUAAGCAGAAGGGAGAUCCUCCAUUGUCAUGGGAAUCAAAAUUUCCUCGUCAAGCAGUCCUGUUAAGAAGCUUGCUGUCACCAAGCCCAUCAGACCGUCCAUCUGCUGUCGAGGUCUUGCAAAAUGAACUCCCUCCUCGGAUGGAAGAUGAGUGGCUAAAUGAUGUACUUAGAAUGAUACAAACACCGGAAGACACAUAUGUUUAUGAUCGAGUUAUAUCUACAAUAUUUAAUGAGGACAGGUUUGCCAAAAUGCAAGGCCAACAUGAUAGCAGCAAAAAGUCCACUGGUAACAUUGACAAUAGUGAACUUUUGGAUACCAUCAUUGAGGUUGCCAAGGAGGUUUUCAAGCGGCAUUGUGCUAAACGGUUCCAGAUAUCACCUUUGCAUACUUUGGAAUGGAAUAUUACCAAAAAUAGGGGAAACACGGUGAAAAUCUUAACUCAAGGAGGGGAGAUGUUAGAACUUUGCUAUGAACUGCGAACACCAUUUGUUAUGUCAAUUGCUGUUAAUCAGACAUCAUCAUUCAAGCGUUAUGAAAUAUCAUGGGUUCAUAGAAGAGCCGUUGGCUAUUCAACUCCUUAUCGUUUUCUUCAGGGUGAUUUUGACAUUAUUGGCGGUACUUCACCAAUUCCAGAGGCUGAAACCAUCAAGGUGGCUUUGGACCUUGGGACCCGUUUUUAUGAUUCCAAGACACUAGUCAUACGCCUGAAUCACGGUAAACUUGCUGAAGCAAUUUGCUCUUGGGCAGGGGUUUCUCAGGAUCGAAGACAAAAUGUUGCUGAGUUUCUGUCUUCAACUCUUGUUCAAUAUUGGCCAAAUGAGGCUGACCGCAAGUCACAGUGGAGUUUGAUUAGGGGGCAACUUUUACAGGAUCUUCGUCUUUCUGAAGAAGUUGUUGAGAAGCUACAUAAAGCAGAUCAGCGAUUUUGUGGCUCUGCAGAUCUAGUACUUGCUAGAUUAAGAGGGACCCUGUUCUAUGAUAAAUCUGCUUGCAAGGCUCUUGAUGAUCUAUCCGCGCUUCUGAGAUGUUUGAGAGUAUGGUCUGUAGAACAACCAAUUACAACUAUUGAUGUACUCAUGCCUCCCUCAGAAUGUUACUAUACAGAUUUGUUUUUCCAGGUAUACUCAAAAGAAGGUAAUCAUGGACCGAGUUUCCAUGAAAAGUUGCUGGCAGUUGGUGGACGAUAUGAUCGGUUGGUGGAACAAGCUUGGGAUAAGGCAUAUAAAUCUAAACCCCCAGGUGCUGUUGGUGUGAGCAUUGCACUUGAGAAAUUUCUUCCUAAUAAUCCUUCAUCUGAUCUUGGGUUGCGAAGGUUACUGUCCAGGAUUGAACCUAGCAUCAGUGUACUUGUCUGUUCAAGGGGUGGUGGCGGUCUGUUAACUGAACGCAUGGAACUUGUUGCAGAGCUUUGGAAAGCUAACAUAAAGGCUCAGUUUGUUCCUCAGGAAGAUCCAAGUCUUCAAGAACAGUAUGAAUAUGCCAGUGAUCAUGAUAUUAAAUGCCUUGCAUUUAUCACUGAAUCAGGUCUGUCACAAACAGAUCUUGUGAAGGUUCGGCAUCUUGAUUUUAAAAAGGAGAAGGAUGUUGAAAGAGAGGGACUAAUAAAGUUCCUGUCUGAUGCAAUAUGUUCACAAUUCAAAAAUCCUACGAUCUGGAGCUGACCAGCGGCCCUCCCAAGUCCUUAGUCGAUCUGUUUUCAGGCUCUAGCAUGGCAUCAAAAAAUGGUUUGUGGUUACCAGUGUCUUUCGAACUUCCAGGUGAAAACAAUGUUUGCUGUUCGAACAUGUGAAGGCGCACCGGGUUACAAUCAUGCUUGUUGGCUUCCGUGCAUACGGUAAGGCGGUUGUUGGCUCUCUGCAGGUUGUUGCCAAACGUUACGCACUUGUGGCCUUUACUGAAGAUGGGUGCGGCCGUGCGGUGAUUGGCCAAUUGGUGUAAUCCUGGACCUCCGGGUUGUCCUCCUGAGGACCAAUUCCGUGCAAGGUUGCUUCAGACACAAGGUGGUGGGUAGUUGGUGCAAUUCUGCAGUUUUGGGGCUAUUAGUACUAGAUUAGAUGGAUUGGGAGGUGCGCGGUUUUCUACAACAGAUCCUCCGGUUUUGCCAUUUUUGCCUUUGUGUUCUCUUUUUGGUGCGUGCGAUUUUUUCCCCCAAUAGGACUACCUUGUACAUAGUUCGUUUAGCGUGAUCCACCAUGUACAGGCAAAUUUUUUACAUUGUUGGGUUGCUGAUAAUGAAAUGCUCAAUUUUGCAA